rnacentral:rRNA from 1 species
AGAGUUUGAUCCUGGCUCAGGAUGAACGCUGGCGGCGUGCCUAACACAUGCAAGUUGAGCGAUUUACUUCGGUAAAGAGCGGCGGACGGGUGAGUAACGCGUGGGUAACCUACCCUGUACACACGGAUAACAUACCGAAAGGUAUGCUAAUACGGGAUAAUAUAUUUGAGAGGCAUCUCUUGAAUAUCAAAGGUGAGCCAGUACAGGAUGGACCCGCGUCUGAUUAGCUAGUUGGUAAGGUAACGGCUUACCAAGGCGACGAUCAGUAGCCGACCUGAGAGGGUGAUCGGCCACAUUGGAACUGAGACACGGUCCAAACUCCUACGGGAGGCAGCAGUGGGGAAUAUUGCACAAUGGGCGAAAGCCUGAUGCAGCAACGCCGCGUGAGUGAUGAAGGCCUUCGGGUCGUAAAACUCUGUCCUCAAGGAAGAUAAUGACGGUACUUGAGGAGGAAGCCCCGGCUAACUACGUGCCAGCAGCCGCGGUAAUACGUAGGGGGCUAGCGUUAUCCGGAUUUACUGGGCGUAAAGGGUGCGUAGGCGGUCUUUCAAGUCAGGAGUGAAAGGCUACGGCUCAACCGUAGUAAGCUCUUGAAACUGGGAGACUUGAGUGCAGGAGAGGAGAGUGGAAUUCCUAGUGUAGCGGUGAAAUGCGUAGAUAUUAGGAGGAACACCAGUUGCGAAGGCGGCUCUCUGGACUGUAACUGACGCUGAGGCACGAAAGCGUGGGGAGCAAACAGGAUUAGAUACCCUGGUAGUCCACGCUGUAAACGAUGAGUACUAGGUGUCGGGGGUUACCCCCUUCGGUGCCGCAGCUAACGCAUUAAGUACUCCGCCUGGGAAGUACGCUCGCAA